CGCCUGGGGAGUACGGUCGCAAGACUAAAACUCAAAGGAAUUGACGGGACCCCGCACAAGCGGCGGAGCAUGCGGCUUAAUUCGAUGAUACCCGUAGAACCUUACCUGGACUAGACAUAAGGGAAAAGCUAUAGAAAUAUAGUGUGCGUAAGCGCCCUAUACAGGUGGUGCAUGGCUGUCGUCAGCUCGUGUCGUGAGAUGUCGCGUUAAGUCGCUUAACGAGCGAAACCCUUGUCUCUAGUUGCCAGCGCGUAAAGCGGGGACUCUAGAGAGACCGCCGGCGUUAAGCCGGAGGAAGGUGGGGAUGACGUCAAGUCCUCAUGGCCCUUAUGACUAGGGCUGCACACGUCCUACAAUGGAACGCACAAAGGGAAGCGAAACCGCGAGGUCAAGCAAAUCCCAAAAAUCGUUCCCUAGUUCGGAUUGCAGGCUGCAACUCGCCUGCAUGAAGCUGGAAUCGCUAGUAAUCGCGGGUCAGAUACCGCGGUGAAUGUGUUCCUGAGCCUUGAACACACCGCCCGUC
rnacentral:rRNA from 1 species